CUACGGGCUGCACCAGUUAGGAAUAUUCUGCAAUGCGCGCAAGCGUGACAGAUUGAACCAGAGUGUUUUUCAAAUGAAAAGCUUUUACCAAGUGUAAAAAGCUUGGCGAAUAAGGACUGGGUAAGACGAGUGCCAGCCGCCGCGGUAAUACUCGCGGUCCAAGUCGCAGCCAUUUUUAUUGGGUCUAAAACAUCCGUAGCUUGCUUGGUAAGUUUCUUGUGAAAUUUUAUAUCUCAAAUAUAGAGCGUGCAAGAAGUACUGCCUAGCUAGAGACUGGAAGACGUAAGAAGUAUGUUUGGAGUAGCGGUAAAAUGUGUUAAUCCCAGACAGACUAACAACAGCGAAGGCAUCUUACGAGGACAGUUCUGACAGUAAGGGAUGAAAGCUAGGGGCGCAAAACGGAUUAGAUACCCGGGUAGUC
rnacentral:rRNA from 1 species